rnacentral:rRNA from 1 species
AGAGUUUGAUCCUGGCUCAGAACGAACGCUGGCGGCAUGCUUCAUACAUGCAAGUCGAACGUCAACUAUGUGCUUGCACAUACGAGGCGUGGCAGACGGGUGAGUAAUAUCUAGGAAUGUACCCCUUGGUACGGAAUAACGCUGGGAAACUGGUGAUAAUACCGUAUAAGCCGGAAACGGGAAAGGUUUACCGCCAGGGGAGCGGCCUAGAUCGGAUUAGGUUGUUGGUGAGGUAAUGGCUCACCAAGCCAAUGAUCUGUAGCUGGUUUGAGAGGAUGAUCAGCCACACUGGGACUUAGACACGGCCCAGACUUCUACGGAAGGCAGCAGUAAGGAAUAUUGGACAAUGGGGGAAACCCUGAUCCAGCAAUGCCGCGUGAGUGAUGAAGGAUUUCGGUUUGUAAAGCUCUUUUAUAAGAGAAGAUGAUGACGGUAUCUUAUGAAUAAGCCCCGGCUAACUUCGUGCCAGCAGCCGCGGUAAUACGAAGGGGGCUAGCGUUGUUCGGAUUGACUGGGCGUAAAGGGCGUGUAGGCGGAUAUACGCGUGAAUUGUGAAAGCCCCGGGCUCAACCUGGGAAUUGCAGUUCAUACGGUAUAUCUUAGAGUGCGAGAGGGGGAAGUGGAAUGGCGAGUGUAGCGGUGAUAUGCGUUGAUAUUCGCUAGAACACCAGAGGCGAAGGCGACUUUCUGGCUCGUAACUGACGCUGAGGCGCGAAAGUGUGGGGAGCAAACAGGAUUAGAUACCCUGGUAGUCCACACUGUAAACGAUGAGUGCUAGAUGUUGGGUAGUAAGCUACUCAGUGUCGCAGCUAACGCGUUAAGCACUCCGCCUGGGGAGUACGGUCGCAAGAUUAAAACUCAAAGGAAUUGACGGGGACCCGCACAAGCGGUGGAGUAUGUGGUUUAAUUCGAAGCUACGCGAAGAACCUUACCAGCUCUUGACAUGUAGAUCGUAGUAAUAAGAGAUUAUUACGUCAGUAUGGCUGGAUCUAACACAGGUGUUGCAUGGCUGUCGUCAGUUCGUGUCGUGAGAUGUUGGGUUAAGUCCCGCAACGAACGCAACCCUCGCUGCUAGUUGCUAACGCGUUAUGGCGAGAACUUUAGCAGAACUGCCAGAAAUAAACUGGAGGAAGGUGGGGAUGAUGUCAAGUCAUCAUGGCCCUUAUGGGCUGGGCUACACACGUACUACAAUGGUGGUGACAGAGAGAAGAUAAGGGGCAACCUGGUUCAAAACUCUUAAAAGCUACCACAGUUCGGAUUGUCCUCUGCAACUCGAGGGCAUGAAGUCGAAAUCGCUAGUAAUCGCAGAUCAGCGUGCUGCGGUGAAUACGUUCCCGGGUCUUGUACACACUGCCCGUCACGUCAUGGAAGUUGGUUCUGCCUUAAGUCGGAAUGCUAACCUUCGGGGGGCUACCGACCACGGUGGGGUCGAUGACUGGGACGAAGUCGUAACAAGGUA